rnacentral:rRNA from 1 species
CUACACGGGUAUCUAAUCCCGUUCGCUCCCCUAGCUUUCGUGCCUCAGCGUCAGAAGAGACCCAGUGAGCUGCUUUCGCCUCAGGUGUUCCUAAUGAUAUCAACGCAUUUCACCGCUCCACCAUUAGUUCCGCUCACCUCUGCCUCCCUCAAGCUUGGUAGUUUUGAGCGCAAUUCCUCGGUUGAGCCGAGGGAUUUCACACCCAACUUUCCAAGCCGCCUACGCACUCUUUAAGCCCAGUGAUUCCGAAUAACGUUCGUACGGUUCGUAUUACCGCGGCUGCUGGCAC